CCGACUGCUAUUUGGGUGAGAAUAAAGCCAUGCGAGUCGAAUGGGAGUNCUAAAUUUUCCAUGGCAAACUGCUCAUUAACACAUGAUCAACUUACCCUAUAGAGAAAAAUAACCUCGGGAAACUGAGGAUAAUGUUUCGUAGUUGAAUAGGCUUGGAAAAGUUUUUCAAUAAAAGGGAUAAAAUAAAUGGUUUUUAUCUGCUGUAGGAUAGGAUCGUGGACGAUUAUGGUUGUUGGUGAGGUAACGGCUCACCAAGCCGAUAAUCGAUAGGGGCCGUGAGAGCGGGAGCCCCGAGAUGGGUACUGAGACAACGACCCAGGCCUUACGAGGCGCAGCAGGCGCGGAACCUCCGCAAUACACGAAAGUGUGACGGGGUUACCCAAAGUGUUCAAUUCUGAACUGUGGUAGGUGAGUAAUGUUCCCUACUAGAAAGGAGAGGGCAAGGCUGGUGCCAGCCGCCGCGGUAAAACCAGCUCUUCAAGUGGUCGGGAUAAUUAUUGGGCUUAAAGUGUCCGUAGCCGGUUUAGUAAGUUCCUGGUAAAAUCGGGUAGCUUAACUAUCCGUAUGCUAGGAAUACUGCUAUACUAGAGGGCGGGAGAGGUCUGAGGUACUACAGGGGUAGGGGUGAAAUCUUAUAAUCCUUGUAGGACCACCAGUGGCGAAGGCGUCAGACUGGAACGCGCCUGACGGUGAGGGACGAAAGCCAGGGGAGCGAACCGGAUUAGAUACCCGGGUAGUCCUGGCCGUAAACGAUGCAUACUAUGUGAUGGUACGGCCAUGAGCCGUAUCAGUGCCGUAGGGAAACCGUUAAGUGUGCCGCCUGGGAAGUACGGUCGCAAGGCUAAAACUUAA
rnacentral:rRNA from 1 species